rnacentral:lncRNA from 1 species
CUCACCCGGGUGGGCCUGCGAUUUUGGACCAAGUUGAAUUAAAGUUGGGCCUAAAGCAAGAGAAACUUAGGGCUACAAGAGAAGUAUUGAGUAACUAUGGCAAUAUGUCAAGUGCUUGUGUGUUGUUUAUUUUGGAUGAAAUGAGAAAGGCCUCUACAAAAGAAGGCCUAGGAACUACAGGUGAAGGGCUUGAAUGGGGUGUCCUUUUUGGAUUUGGGCCUGGGCUUACAGUUGAGACUGUUGUUCUUCACAGUGUUGCUACUUAGUGGGUUGGGCUUAUAUUGUGGGCCUCUAAAAUUUGUUUGCUAUUAAUGUAUUUGCUAUGUUUUGUUAUUUAAUAUUUAUGUUAUCUUUGCGAAUAAAGAUAUUUGUAAUGAGAACUAUGUAAUCAAAUACCUAAUAAAUUUCUGUCUAAUUUUAAUUUUCAUUUAAUUUGCAUAAUUAUCACUUUAAUUUCACCUUCUCACAAUCGUAAAACUGGUUAAAAUGAUUCCACUAUUCCUGAAAAAUAUUCUCAUUCAAAUGAAUUUUAAUUCUUUAAAAGUUUGAACAAGCGAAUUAUGAUAAUAUAUAAACCGAAGAAAUAAGCUUCCCUAUACAUCACUUUUAUUUUCCAAUAUAUUUUGUGUGAAAAACCAAGGAAAGACAAGCUUGUAGUUAUAUAAUUUCUAUUUUUAUUUUAUAGGUAUAAGUUGCGUUCGGUAUGAAUAAAAAUGUUUUCUUAAAAAAAUUGUGUUUUUUUAAAUAUAUUUUCUUAUGCUUGAUAUUUAAAUAAAAAGUAAUAUUCUAAAAAUAUUUGUAUAUUAUCUAAGGUUGUGGUAAGAGAAAGGUGGGCAUGGGAUGAAGAAAACAUUAUCUGAAAUAUCACCUGUGAAACUUAUGGUCGAAGUCAUUUUUCUCAUUUCUAAAAUACGUGUUUUCUUAGAAAAAUAUAUUUAAUUUUUUAAAUUAAUCUAACAUGAAAAAAUUUAAAAAUAUUUUCCACAAUACAAAAUACACACAUUUAUUUGGGAAAGAAAUUAGAUGAUUACCAUAAUCUUUAAUAUCAAAUGAUUUUGUAAUUAAAUUACUUUUAUUCUCGAACUAUUGAAAGUCUUAAAAACACUCAUUUAUACUUGACUAACUGAACUUAAAUACACUCUGAUCUAAUGACAUGAGUGAAAAUAUACCCCUAAAAUACUUUAGGAUUAUUUUCAAUACUUCUCUCGGCUUUUAUUAAGAGUCCCGUGCUCUACAAGAGUUUGAAAAUUGCUAUGUCAUGUGACAAAUCGAGGGUAUAUCAAAGUUUAGUUAGUUAAGUAGAAAGAUAUUUUUAAGAAUGUCAAUAGUUCGAAACGAACCUAAUGAUUUGCGUCAAGUUUAAAGGUAUUACUUAUCUCUUUAUUAAAUUUCAUUCCGUUCAUGUACCAAAUAUUUCUUUUGGUCCAUCUCUAUUUGGUAAAUUUUAAUUUAUGUGAUAUCUGACUAAGCAUUAAUUAAUUUUCAAUUCCUUAAAAUGUGCAGUUGCGAUCCCUUUACUUGGGAAUAUAUUCUCAGAUUUUGUAAUUAAUCAUGUACUAUAAAAAUGUGUAUAUAUUGUUAUUUCAUAUAUGUGGGUAAUUAAUGUAGUUCUAAAAAAAUAAUUUUAAUUUAACAUAUUCCUUACAUAUAUGGAUUUAAAACAUACAUUUUGAUUAAGUUAAGAUUAAAUAUGUUGAAUCUAUGAGGACCAAAAUUAAAACCUGUUAAUAAUUAAAGAAUCAAAAGUACUAUUAUCCUUUAAAAAUAAAUAGCUAUCCGAUUUUGAAACUCUUCAAUCAAUACUUUCAAUACGUUAAAAAUUUAAACUCGGAAAAAACUUAAAUUUUGUUAUAUUGAUCAUACAUCAAUUCUUUAUAAUCAAUACAUUUACAAAUGUAAACUCGAGAACUAUCUGAUUUUGUCAUAUUAAUUAUACAUCAAUUCAUUACAAUCAAUACGUUUAAAAUUUAAAUUUAAAAACUUUGAUUCUGUCAUAUUGAUCAUACAUCAAAUCAUUACAACCAAUACGUUCAAAAUUUAAACUCAAAAACUCUAGUUCUGUCAUAUAUCAAUUCAUUGCAUUCCUGUAUCUAACACAAAAUGUAUAUGUAUGACACUCGACUGCAUUUAUUGUUUUUGACACUUUGUGUGACGAGUUGGAAUUGCAAAAAAAAAAAACACAUCUAAUUAAAUGUUAGUGUAAAUAUAAAUAUUACUACUUAAUUUGGCAAGGACAAACUCACGUGUUCAAAAUUUCUUUUAAAAAAUUAAAAGCUAAACAACAAAAAUUUAUAACAAUUUCAUUUGGCUAUGAAUUAAUGAUGACUUAUAAACAAAUUCACUUAGCUAGAAGCUUUUCAGAUGAAUUAGCUAGGGAUUAUCGAUAAAUUUCGUAUCUAAUUCUAUAUUUUCUUGUAGUGAUUAUAGGGAGGUAUAUUUGAUUCUCCAAAGAGUAUUAAUAGGGUUUAAAAUUGAGAUAUAGGCGGCAUGAGCGAUUCUUUGAAGCCCCUUCGUCAAAAAAUUAUAUCGUAUAGUGUAACUCCACAAGUAAGGUUUAGGGAAGAUAGAGUGUACACGACCUUAUCCCUAUCUCAUGAAGGUAGAGAUCAAACUACUUAAAAAAAAAACUCGACUCAUUUAAAUCAUAUAGUAUAUAUAGAAUUAAAAUUAUUUUUUAUGUAUAUAUAUAAUAUAUAUUUCGUAUCUCAUUUUAAUUAAACUCUUGAUAUAGUUACGUCUCAAAUUACUCUUGUCCAAAGCCCAAGGCUGUCAACACCAUUCUUUCUUUUGGAUUUCACAUAUAAAUAAAUGACAAGUUUAUACUACUCCAUGAAAAGAAAAAACGUUACACUACUACACACCCUAAAAAAAACCUAGCAUAUUAUCCACUAUUUUUUCUGGCGAAAAUGGUCACCGUUGAGGAGUAUCGUAAGGCGCAACGUGCCAAGGGUCCGGCUACGGUCAUGGCCAUUGGAACAUCUACGCCUUUCAAUUGUGUUGAUCAGAGUACUUACCCUGAUUAUUAUUUUCGUAUUACUAAUAGUGAGCACAAGACUGAGCUCAAGGAAAAAUUUAAGCGCAUGUGUAAGAUAACUCCUUAUCUUAUUAAAAGAAAAACUCCUCACCUUAUUGUUUUUAUGUGUUUGUUACAUUUUAUGUUAAGUUGUUAAUAUUUGUUUGGUUCGAAUAACUUUUCAUUGAAUAUGAUUUUCUUGAACUUUUUAAUAUUUUUAAAAUUAUUAACCUGCUGAAAUAUAAUACUUUUUAUAUAGAAGUUAGGUACUCUAUAUUGACUAUAUCCUGUGUAAUUUUUUCCUUAACUAGUUGAAUACAAUUAGAGGUAUAUCCAGGAUUUUACGAUGAUGAGUGCACUAUUACGAGAAGGUGGAUCUAAGAUAUAAAUUUGAUCGAUUUGACAUUUAGGUUCUUGUCACUAAAAAUAAUUAAAAUUAUGGGAAUUUCGCACAAAUCUCAUAGUGUUAAGAGCUAAUUACAUCUUAUCUCUACUCUUUUCCAAAUUACAAAAAAUUCUUAAAAUUGAUAGAAUCCGAAUACAUCCUAGAACGUAUCGAUACAUCGCGUCUCGAUUUCGAAUAUAUCCCUCAUCCUAGUACAUCUCAUGUCAGUUUCGGAUACAACACUCGACAUCACGAUACAUCGCGUACGUCCUAAUACAUCACGCAAAGUGAUGUAUCCGAUCGACACAUCGUGUGAAGUGAUGUAUCCAACCAAUACAUUGCAUAAAGUAAUGUAUCCGAGAUUAGGAGAGAGUAGGGAUUUUUGUUAAUUUUCAAAUGGUAGGAAAUUUUAGAGAAUAUGGUAAAACAAGUUGUGUAUUUAGGUAAUUUUUCCUAAACUUAUUGGUCCGAAAUUAAUUCUUAACUAUUCAAAUAGUGUAUAUUAUAUGAGAUCGAAUGAACCAUUAAUUGUAUGUUAUAUCAUAUCCAGUACCACUAGUUUUAAUAUACACAUUUGGCUUAAUUAUAUAAAAAUAUUAGAUUGCUAAAAAGAAUAGGAAUUUUCAAUGUGAUAAACUUGAUUUUUUUUUGAAAAUUUUGAAAGAUUAAACCCCUCUCUCUCUCUCUCUAUAUAUAUAUAUAUAUAUAUAUAUAUAUAUAUAUAUAAAGUGCUAUCAAUAAUCACUUAAAGAGGUGUUACCCCAAUUUUAGAAUUCAAAUAAAACAAGAUAGACAUAAAAUUCUAAUUUAGAAUGGUGCACUCAAUCACCAGUUCAUUAUAUGAUACUUCAAGUACUGUAGAUUCAUACGUCUAUAUUUAAAAUAUAAUAGUACUAUAUACGAUUUCGAAAGGAGAGCAUGGUUCACGUGAACCCAGUGACCCCCUCAUACUCCCCUGAGUACAACACAUGUUAAUCUUGCUUAAUGAUUACCAUGGUUGGAAAUUUCAUAUCUUUAUUAUUUUUAAUUUCUUGACAAUUUUUUUCAUAUUUGCAGGUGAUAAAUCAAUGAUUAAAAAAAGAUACAUGCACUUAACCGAGGAAAUCUUGAAAAAGAACCCUAAUAUGUGUGCAUAUAUGUCACCUUCCCUUGAUGCUAGGCAAGACAUAGCUAUUGUUGAAGUGCCUAAACUUGGCAAAGAGGCAGCCCAAAAGGCCAUCAAGGAAUGGGGCCAGCCCAAAUCCAAGAUUACCCAUUUGGUCUUUUGUACAUCUAGUGGUGUGGACAUGCCCGGGUGCGACUACCAGCUCGCUAAGCUACUCGGGCUUUGCCCAUCGGUCAAGCGACUCAUGAUAUACCAACAAGAUUGCUAUGCCGGGGGAACAUUACUCCGGCUAGCCAAAGACAUGGCUGAGAACAACAAAGGUGCUAGAGUCCUUGUUGUUAGCUCUGAGAUCACUGUGGUCAAGUUUCGUGGACCUAGUGAAUCUCACAUAGAUAACUUGUUAGGCCAAGCCCUUUUUGGUGAUGGGGUGGCCGCAGUUAUUAUAGGUUCAGACCCAAAUCUAGGGGUCGAAAGGCCUUUAUUCAAACUCGUCUCAGCAGCUCAAACUCUAGUCCCUGAUAGCGAAGGGGCUAUCUAUGGACACCUCCGUGAGGUUGGGCAUAUAUUCCAUUUACUCAAGGAUGUUCCUGGGCUAAUCUCGAAAAACAUCGAGAAGAGCCUUCUGGAUGCAUUUCAACCUCUAGGUAUAUCUGAUUGGAACUCUCUAUUUUGGAUUACUCACCCAGGUGGACCUGCGAUGUUGGACCAAGUUGAAUUAAAAUUGGGCCUAAAGCCUGAGAAACUUAGGGUUUCAAGAGAAGUAUUGAGUAACUAUGGCAAUAUGUCAAGUGCUUGUGUGUUGUUUAUUUUGGAUGAAAUGAGAAAGGCCUCUACAAAAGAAGGCCUAGGAACUACUGGUGAAGGGCUUGAAUGGGGUGUCCUUUUUGGAUUUGGGCCUGGGCUUACAAUUUAGACUGUUGUUCUUCACAGUGUUGCUACUUAGUGG